AACCAGUGAUGUUAUCAAAAUAUUUGCUACUCUUGAUGGGGCAACUCCUAUUUGAUGAUCACAACCACCAUGAUCUCUGAGGCC
rnacentral:snoRNA from 3 species